rnacentral:rRNA from 1 species
UACGGAGGAUGCAAGCGUUAUCCGGAAUGAUUGGGCGUAAAGCGUCCGCAGGUGGCGAUGUAAGUCUGCUGUUAAAGAGUGAGGCUCAACCUCAUAAGAGCAGUGGAAACUACAUAGCUAGAGUACGUUCGGGGCAGAGGGAAUUCCUGGUGUAGCGGUGAAAUGCGUAGAUAUCGGGAGGAACACCUGUGGCGAAAGCGGCUCACUGGACCACAACUGACGCUGAUGCACGAAAGCUAGGGGAGCAAACAGG